GAAAUGCGAUAAGUAAUGUGAAUUGCAGAAUCCAGUGAAUCAUCGAAUCUUUGAACGCACCUUGCACCCUUUGGUAUUCCAAAGGGUAUGCUCAUUUGAGUGUCAUUGUUACUCUCACACUCUCUGAUCGAGAGCGGUGGACUUGGGUGUUGCUGCUUCACUGUGGCUCACCUCAAAUUGGUUAGUGCAGCUCAUGAUUGGAGAUAGUACAGCAUGAUAAGUGUCGUUGCUGGUGCUUUCUGAUCAGGAGUUGUGCUUCAAACUGUCUGUGGACAACUUCUGACGACUUGACCUCAAAUUGAGCAGGACUACCCGCUGAACUUAA
rnacentral:misc_RNA from 1 species